CUGGCUCAGGAUGAACGCUAGCGACAGGCUUAACACAUGCAAGUCGAGGGGCAGCAUAAAAGUAGCAAUACUUGGUGGCGACCGGCGCACGGGUGAGUAACGCGUAUGCAACCUACCUAUCAGAGGGGAAUAACCCGGCGAAAGUCGGACUAAUACCGCAUAAAACAGGGACACCGCAUGGUGAUAUUUGUUAAAGAAAUUCGCUGAUAGAUGGGCAUGCGUUCCAUUAGGUAGUUGGUGAGGUAACGGCUCACCAAGCCGACGAUGGAUAGGGGAACUGAGAGGUUGGUCCCCCACACUGGUACUGAGACACGGACCAGACUCCUACGGGAGGCAGCAGUGAGGAAUAUUGGUCAAUGGGCGAGAGCCUGAACCAGCCAAGUCGCGUGAAGGAAAGAAGGAUCUAUGGUUCGUAAACUUCUUUUGCAGGGGAAUAAAGUGCAGGACGUGUCCUGUUUUGUAUGUACCCUGAGAAUAAGGAUCGGCUAACUCCGUGCCAGCAGCAGC
rnacentral:rRNA from 1 species